CCUCCUUUGGGUGUUUUUGAUGAGCUCUGAUUCUUGUGACAGAAAUGAUGCUAAACUUCCUACCCCGGUGCUUGACUGUGCUGAAAACCCAUCCAGUCCUCACUAAGUUCUUCGUCUAGUCACUGAGCAUGAGUCAGUCACUGUGUAGUGGAGGAAGGCUCAUCAGAAGCAGAGCUCUCUUCAGAUCUUCCAAAGCAAUGGGCAAUGAGUGUACCAAAGGACAUAAAUGACCAUGGCCCAGAAGGGGACCUGGACAGGCACGAGACAAAUGGAUGAUAUUUCUGAAAAUAUCUCUGGAUACCAUAAUUAAGAUCCAUUCAUGAUAGACUCCAUCACCUAACCUACAGUUAAGGUGUAUAUUGGAAGCAAACAAAUGGUUUUACAUUACUAAAGUUUGCAUCAGCUAGAGAUGGCAAGCUAAAUAUUUAGGAAGCUGGUUAAUUUUCUCAGUGGAAAGUUCAACAUCCAACUGCAUCAUGGCAAGCCCCACUAUUCAAUACAAGCUGGAGGAUGAAAGGAUUGAGCACAGCCCUGACAAAAAAGACUUGGAGGUACUGGUGGAUGGCAAACUGGACAUGAGUCAGCAGUGUGCUCUCACAGUCCAGAAAGUCAACCAUAUCCUGGACUGCGACAAAAGAAAUGUGGCUAGCAGGUCAAGGGAGGUGAUUCUGCCCCUCUACUCUGUGUUCGUGAGGCUUCACCUGGAGUACUGAGUCCAGAUAAGGAGUCCUCAGUAUAGGAGAGACAUGGACCUGUCAGAGCGUGUCCAGAAGAGGUCCACAAAAAUGAUCCAAGGGAUGGAACACUUCCCCUGUGAGGACCAGUUCAACCUAGAGAAGAGAAGGCUGUGAGGUGACUUGAUAACAGCCUUUAAGUAUCUGAAGGGGAUAGGAAAGAAGGGG
ensembl:lncRNA